rnacentral:rRNA from 1 species
UAGAGUUUGAUCCUGGCUCAGAUUGAACGCUGGCGGCAUGCUUUACACAUGCAAGUCGAACGGAAACGAUGGGGAGCUUGCUUCCCAGGCGUCGAGUGGCGAACGGGUGAGUAAUGCAUCGGAACGUGCCCAGUCGUGGGGGAUAGCCCGGGGAAACCCGGAUUAAUACCGCAUACGCCCUGAGGGGGAAAGUGGGGGAUCUUUAGGGACCUCACGCGAUUGGAGCGGCUGAUGUCGGAUUAGCUAGUUGGUGGGGUAAAGGCCUACCAAGGCGACGAUCCGUAGCUGGUCUGAGAGGAUGAUCAGCCACAUCGGGACUGAGACACGGCCCGAACUCCUACGGGAGGCAGCAGUGGGGAAUUUUGGACAAUGGGGGCAACCCUGAUCCAGCCAUGCCGCGUGAGUGAAGAAGGCCUUCGGGUUGUAAAGCUCUUUCAGUUGGGAAGAAACGGUGCGCUCUAACAUAGCGCGCUACUGACGGUACCGACAGAAGAAGCACCGGCUAACUACGUGCCAGCAGCCGCGGUAAUACGUAGGGUGCGAGCGUUAAUCGGAAUUACUGGGCGUAAAGCGUGCGCAGGCGGUUGUGUAAGACAGGUGUGAAAUCCCCGGGCUUAACCUGGGAACUGCGCUUGUGACUGCACGGCUAGAGUACGGCAGAGGGGGGUGGAAUUCCACGUGUAGCAGUGAAAUGCGUAGAGAUGUGGAGGAACACCGAUGGCGAAGGCAGCCCCCUGGGCCGAUACUGACGCUCAUGCACGAAAGCGUGGGGAGCAAACAGGAUUAGAUACCCUGGCAGUCCACGCCCUAAACGAUGUCUACUAGUCGUUCGGAAAGGUUACUUUCUGAGUGACGCAGCUAACGCGUGAAGUAGACCGCCUGGGGAGUACGGUCGCAAGAUUAAAACUCAAAGGAAUUGACGGGGACCCGCACAAGCGGUGGAUGAUGUGGAUUAAUUCGAUGCAACGCGAAAAACCUUACCUACCCUUGACAUGUCUGGAACUUGGCAGAGAUGCCUUGGUGCCUUCGGGAGCCAGAACACAGGUGCUGCAUGGCUGUCGUCAGCUCGUGUCGUGAGAUGUUGGGUUAAGUCCCGCAACGAGCGCAACCCUUACCAUUAGUUGCCAUCAUUUAGUUGGGCACUCUAAUGGGACUGCCGGUGACAAACCGGAGGAAGGUGGGGAUGACGUCAAGUCCUCAUGGCCCUUAUGGGUAGGGCUUCACACGUCAUACAAUGGUCGGUACAGAGGGUUGCCAAGCCGCGAGGUGGAGCUAAUCUCAGAAAGCCGAUCGUAGUCCGGAUCGCAGUCUGCAACUCGACUGCGUGAAGUCGGAAUCGCUAGUAAUCGUGGAUCAGAAUGUCACGGUGAAUACGUUCCCGGGUCUUGUACACACCGCCCGUCACACCAUGGGAGUGGGUUUCACCAGAAGUGGGUAGCUUAACCUUCGGGAGGGCGCUCACCACGGUGAGAUUCAUGACUGGGGUGAAGUCGUAACAAGGUAGCCGUAGGGGAACCUGCGGCUGGAACACCUCCUU